AUAAGUCUAAGAAAUCAGUCGCAAAAACAAUAGUGUUUCUCAGCUCGUGCAGUAAACUAGUCUUAAUUCAAUUGCGCUUCAAAAAUGAAUACUAAAUUGUGUUUGUUGUUUUUGCUUGUUGUGUGCAUUGCUGGUUUUGGUUCGGCAAAGCCUCAAUUAGGCUUUGGCAGCUGUGGGAAAAAUGAGGUGUUCAAAAGCUGCGGCAGCGGUUGUACGCCAACAUGCGCUACGAGAAAUAUCAGAAUCAAUUGCCUCCAGGUAUGCGUUGCCCGCUGUCAAUGUCAGCCUGGCUAUUUGCGGAAUAAGAAAGGAAUAUGUGUCCCAAUACAAGACUGUUGAAUGGGCCCAAUAUUAUAAAAAAAGCUUCGGUUUUUGUCAAUAUUGCAGUUUUCGAUUUCCAGUUAUGUAAAUGUUGUUAGUGUUAAAAAAAUAAAAAAAAAAAAUAAAUAAAAAACUUAAUUGUAAUUUCUCUUCAGUGAUCCUAUACUACAUGUAUAUCCAUGUUUUGUAGAAAUAUAAUCUCAUAAAAUAUUAAAGUGGCGAUUUUUUCAAAAAAUAUCGGUUAAUUUGUAAACUAUGUGAAUGCGAUUACAUGUGCAUCUUCUGAUUUUGAUAUUGAUGUGUCCUGUCGCCAAACUUGUAUAAAAUCGGUUCAAUAAUUCGCCUUGCCUUCAAUUUACUGGAGUGAAUAGUGUUUGGUCUCUUUUAUACGAAAAAAUUUUUGUGUGUGUUUAUUGGUUAUGGUUACUUGAACGCAAUGCUCAGAUUUUUAAGCACAUUCUAAUUCAAUUAGUAAAUAUAAAAUUUUCGAACCACAAUUAUGGUGGUAAUACAGUGAUCGAGACUAAAUAUGUUUACAUUUAAAUAACAUAUGUGAUUUACAAUUUCCAGUUUGUUUUGUAAAUCACACGAGCCCUUCAAGAGAUCUAGUGAUUGGGUGUGAAAAUUAUUUAAACAACAAUAUUGUUUUUUAUUUUUUGCGAAUACUUUCUGCGAAUCAUUAACAGUCAAAUAGUACUCAGUGUGUUAAUGAGUAUUGCAAAUAUGAGAACUCACUACUUAUAGAGAGUAAAAGUGGAUACAUUAGGGAGGAUUGCCAUGUGGAAUUUUUGUCGGAUUUGCUAUGAUUUUAACAGAACUAUAUAGUGCCUUAUGAAAAUAUAUGUGUUUUAAUUAUGAUUUGAAAAAUGUGAUUAAAUUGUUUAUUAUAAAGAUACUACUAGUAAGCUAUCAUGAGUAUAUGAGAACAUUUUCUGAUAUACAAAUAUAUGGAUGUACCAAUACUUAAAAUAUUUCUAACUCUGGAACUCAUCUGAGGGUAAUUAGUUUAGUUGAUUAACUAUAAAUAAAAGUCCGUUGCAUCCACUGCUAAAACAAUUGUUUUCCCAGCGCGUUCAUUAAACUAGUAUCAAUUUAGAUGUGCUUCUAAAAUAAAUACUAUCUUUUGUUUGCUAUUUUUGUUUGCUCUGUGCAUUGCUGGUUUGGCGUCGGCAAAGCCGCAGAGAGUCUCUACGGAGUGUGGGGAAAAUGAAGAAUUCACCAGCUGCGUCAACACCUGUCCACCAAAAUGCGAAGGUGGCUACUUUAUCUGCUCACGGCGCUGCUUUGCUGGCUGCAAAUGUAAAAGUGGUUAUUUGUUGAAUAAUGAGAGAAAGUGUGUUCUCCGAAAGGAUUGUUGAGUGACAAAUGGAAUGAAUUAUAUAAUGAUUUAGUGGAUAACAAAUAAAUUAGUUGAAGCAUGUA